AAGGAAGCUGAUUGGCGGG
rnacentral:siRNA from 1 species